CCUACGGGAGGCAGCAGUGGGGAAUCUUGCGCAAUGGGCGAAAGCCUGACGCAGCCAUGCCGCGUGAAUGAUGAAGGUCUUAGGAUUGUAAAAUUCUUUCAGUAGGGACGAUAAUGACGGUACCUACAGAAGAAGCCCCGGCUAACUUCGUGCCAGCAGCCGCGGUAAUACGAAGGGGGCUAGCGUUGCUCGGAAUUACUGGGCGUAAAGGGAGCGUAGGCGGACAUUUAAGUCAGGGGUGAAAUCCCAGAGCUCAACUCUGGAACUGCCUUUGAUACUGGGUGUCUUGAGUGUGAUAGAGGUAUGUGGAACUCCGAGUGUAGAGGUGAAAUUCGUAGAUAUUCGGAAGAACACCAGUGGCGAAGGCGACAUACUGGAUCAUUACUGACGCUGAGGCUCGAAAGCGUGGGGAGCAAACAGGAUUAGAUACCCUGGUAGUCCACGACGUAACGAUAGAUGUCUAGUGUCGGUUGUUACUACUACGUGACGCNGCUACGCAUAAGUACAACUACCGUCCGUCGGGGUAGGGUACGGGUUCGGUCGAACGAAGUUAAAACGUUUAAAACGUUAAGUAAGUUAGUACGGUCGUGUAGACGUGCCGACGGACGACGACCGAGGGAGGUUAGG
rnacentral:rRNA from 1 species